GAAAAAUCUGACUGUAAAAACCAUGAUUACUUUUUUUUUUUUCUUUUCAUCUAUGCCACUUCCUCAAGUCACCACAACAGUUUUGGAAGGUAGGCUAGUGAGAAAUUGAGUGAUUUUCCUGGUGAUUGCGGAUGGCUAUAUGCUACACUGGUAGACUCUUGUUAGGUGUAAGCUGAGGCAGUUAGGAUGAAGGUUGUUUCAGGCAUUAUGUGUAUCUUCAGACAACAGCACAGCCAGAGAUUUGUGAGUGUUGUCUAUAGGUGCUGCAUUUGAAGAAUGCAGAGCUGACUUGAAAUCUGUUGCUUAGCAGUGAAAUGCCCUGGGUGAAUUGCUGUGCUCCCUUUGCUGGAUGUCAGCGCUGAAGAAGAACAAGGGAGGUGUUGAAGGACAUCCAUUGCUAUUUAUCUUCCACCUGUGGUCAGUUGUCACACCUGACUGCAGUAGCAGAACCAGUCUGCAGUCACCCCAUGACUGUUGUUGUGCCACUUACUCUGGUAGGGUGCACCUGGGCUUGUGGUGCUGCACCCAGUCAAUGCAGGGCUUCAGGCAUUUCUGUGGGACCACAGCAGGUUAUUCUGAGCACUUUUUAAUUUUAGCCUCCCUGUGCUUAGUGGCACAGGAACGGCUCAUUGCUGUGCUCACUUAAUUUCCAGCAUCAUCAGCAUUGGGUACUUCAACAGUAGGUGAAGUGUAACUUGAUUUUUAGAAACAUUCUUAUUCUUGACAAUUAAUGACAAAACCUACCAGGGUUUCAACCCAAAUUUCUCUGUGCUUGACUGUAACUCUGGAUAGAUUAUGCCAGACCAGGAAAAUGGGGAGUUGUGAAGAUUGCACGAUCACUGCCUGUGUGAGUGCUAAAUGAAAUAAUCUAAUUAGUUCUUGGAGAGGUGAAGUGGGGAGCUGACACAUGCAUCAGUGACAGCAAGUGGUGGCUUGAACAGAAGCACAUGUGCCUUUCUGCGAAGGAGACCCCAGGGUAGCCAGCUCCUGUUGGAGUGAAAGGACCAGCAUCCCGCUCUUGGCAGCAGCGUGACUCUGGCACACAGCUUGACUGAACUCCCAAGGAAGAAGAGCCUUUCUUUCCCAGCCUUUCUGGCAAAAAAGAGCCAGGUGACAUUGUGGUGGCCCAGGAAGCAUGCGGCUGUGGCACUGGGGGCCCUGAAGACUGUCUGGCUUGCAAGGAAGAAUGCUACGGUGGGCAGUGCACUUGGAAGGUGGGCCACGGAGGGUGAACCACGCGGCCGUGGCCGUCGGGCACAAGGUCUAUUCCUUUGGCGGGUAUUGUUCUGGAGAAGACUAUGAGACUCUGCGGCAGAUUGACGUCCAUGUUUUUAAUGCAGUGUCUCUGCGCUGGAUCAAGCUGCCUCCAGUGUGGACAAACAGCCGAGACCAUGUGAGAGAGGUGCCCUACAUGAGGUAUGGGCACUCGGCAGUGCUCAUAGAUGACACCGUCUACAUAUGGGGUGGUCGCAAUGACACUGAGGGAGCCUGCAACGUGCUCUAUGCCUUUGAUGUCAACACACACAAGUGGUUCACACCAAAGGUGUCUGGAAUGGUCCCAGGAGCGAGAGAUGGGCAUUCAGCGUGUGUCCUGGCAAAGAGCAUGUUUAUCUUUGGAGGCUAUGAACAGCUGGCCGACUGCUUUUCAAAUGAUAUCCAUAAAUUGGACACCACAAACAUGAUGUGGACCUUAAUCUCUGCCAAGGGUACACCAGCUCGCUGGAGAGACUUCCAUUCAGCUACCAUCAUCGGAACAAAGAUGUACGUAUUUGGUGGCAGAGCCGAUCGUUUUGGGCCAUUUCACUCCAACAAUGAGAUCUACUGUAACUGCAUCAAAGUAUUUGAUACAGAAACCAAUUCCUGGCUGGACUCCCCUCCAACUCCAGUGCUCCCUGAAGGCCGUCGGAGCCAUUCAGCAUUCAGCUACAAUGGGGAGCUAUAUGUAUUUGGUGGCUACAACGCACGCCUGAACAGACACUUCCACGACCUCUGGAAAUUCAAUCCAGUUUCUCUUUCUUGGAGGAAGAUUGAGCCCAAGGGAAAAGGUCCGUGUCCUCGACGCCGGCAGUGCUGCUGCAGAGUGGGAGAUAAAAUAAUUCUCUUUGGAGGCACCAGCCCAUCUCCAGAGGAGGGAAUGGGUGAUGAAUUUGACCUGAUGGAUCACUCUGAUCUCUACAUCCUCGACUUCAGCCCCAGUCUAAAGACGCUGUGUAAGCUAGCAGUGAUUCAGUACAGCCUGGACCAGUCCUGCCUUCCCCACGACAUCAGAUGGGAGCUCUCGGCCAUGACAACAAACAGCACCAUCAGCCGCCCCAUCGUCUCCUCCCAGGGCUGAUGACGGCUCAUGCCUCUAGCACCCUGCCCUUGCCCCUCCUCACACACUGACCUCUUGCUCCACUGCCUGCAUGAGUUUUUAGCCUUUUUGAGCAAGAAACCUGUGAGCAUCGUUUGUCUUGCCCUAGCCAGGCCUCCCUCUGCCCUUGUCACGCUUUGGGCAGCACAAGUGUGCAGGCAGAGCAGGCUGCUGGGGAAGAAAUCUGCUCACCCCAGCAGCACAACUGUGAACACCCCUCCUUGCUGAUGGCUCCGGCAUCUCCUGCUUUCCUUCCCCUUGCCUGUGGAACUGCAACUGUGCUGACCUGGUCCCCGGACACUUUCCAAGGGCCUGAAUCAACUCCUACUACCAGCCACAGCCCCAGGAUUGGCCUCGGGCUAUGAACUGUUCCUGUGCUGCCUCGAGAGAGCAGGGACUUCCAUGCCUGCAUCUGCCAGCACCGACCAGCUUCCUGGCACCGGAUGGCAGGCCCCAGCCCAGGGCUGAGCCUGAUGUGGGGGCCUGGGCCCAGCUGGACCAUCUGCCCAGCUCCCAUUGUAAAACAGCAACUGGUGGGAGUUUUAUAAAUGCUGAGGCAGACAUAGUUUCUGCUGCUCGGUGUGUCCUAGCAGGUGAACUGGGGGAGAAAAGGUGUGGGAGGGGAGAAACUUGAACCAGGUGCUUUCCCCUACGGCUGUAGGCCAUCAGUGGCUUAUGGCAUCUGUGGGGCUUGUGGCUGGGGUGGGGGAAGAGGAGCCACUGCCCUGGUGUGCCUGCCUCCUGCCUGGGGCUGUGCUGCCCUGUGAGAGGGCAGGGAGGAAGAUGGUGCAUGUCUCCUGGGCUGCAUUCUCAGGAAGGUGGGUGCCCCACAGCUCCCUGACCCAGGGAGGGAGGUGGAGGAAUGUCUGGGACAGCCUUCCUGGGCAGUGCAGAGUGCUGUGCCUGAGCCCCUUCCUGUGGAGGUGGGGUGUCUGGUGUGAAAAGGAGCUCUGGCAGCAACUGUAGCCGAGCUAAGGCAGGGAAAGCUCAGGGUGUUCCCUGGGAUGGAAAGUCACAGGGCAGCUGAGAGGUGGUGGUGGCUGUGCACCGGGAACAGGUGACAGAGGACCCAGGCCAUCUCCUCUGUCCUGAGGGCUGGCAUGUAGAUCAAGUGCUGCUCAUCCAGCAGCAUGAGGUUGCAGAGGUGCCUGGGCUCCUUGGCCUGGGAAGGCGGCCAGGGCGGGUGCAACGGAGCAGCCUGGAGUGGCACGAGAGCAGUGAAAAUCUCAUGGCAAGAGAACAGAAGGUGCCACAAUUGCGAUUAAGAGCUUGUUCUUCAUGUACUGGCAGCACCUUGCUGUGGUGGGUGAUGAACAUCAAUGGCAGCACUGCAGCCUGAAGAGAGCCAGGGAGUGCUGACAGCACAUCUGGCUCAGGAGCCCCAGCCUGGCCUCCCCCUUUGUCGUCCUUGGCACCUGCAGGUUACCUAUGAGGCUGAUGUGUUGUCCAGCAAUUCCGGCUCCCCUGUUCAACCACCUUGCCACAGCCACAGGCUCUCUCUCAAGCCAUGCCAUGAAAUGGUGGAGGUUGUUUUGCCAUGGCAUCCCCUUCCCCAGCACUGAAGCACUAAGCUUACUCUCCUUGUAGGGGGCCAGGCACCAGGAAACACCCGCAGACCACCCAGGCUCACUGUACUAGGUAGCACAGUACGAAGCACAGAGGCUCCCCAAGGUGCUCCUGGCUCUGUCCAUGAAUGGUUGUCACUGGGUCUUCUCCGGUGAGAAUCACAACCUCUGGGACUUCAAGUGGAGACAAGAGGCCCUAAAGCACCCCAUGCCAGCUGCCUCUAGGAGAGCAAACCUUUGGUGGGGAGAAGGCUUCUCUGGGGGGAAAAAAAAAAAUUAGGGUCACCAGGGAGAGGGUCACAGGUACCCCACUCCCUUUCAGGGGUUCCUUCAGGUUCAGGGGUGUUGUGGCCCUGACUUCCCUCUGCCAGGACCUUGCUGCAGAUUCAGGGAUGGGGCACUGCUCACCACCUUGGUACAGCUGGCUCCAGUAUAUUUUCCUGGCAUACCAGCUCCCUCUCCCAGCACCCAGCUCAGUCAUCAGUGAUGCUGGAGAGCAGCUGCCAGGUGGGUGGACUAGCCACAGGCCUUCAGUCCAUCAUGGACCUUCUGCUGGGCUGGCAAGAACUGUGGGACAGGAGCUGGGCAGAUAUGCACCCCACGAGGGAAUCCCUGCUACCUUCAUCAUCACCCCCUCCUGAGUAGCCAGGUUUGCUUUAAAGAUGCUGGCUUCCUUUUAUUGCUUCCCCUCUCAGAUUGCAGCCGGCUGCAAGGACUAUUUUUAGCAGCCUACUUGCUAAAAAUAGCCCUGAGCUGUUUGGAGUUGCGUCACUAGAGGUAACUCUCUCCAUGAGCAGCUUGGCCCCUGUGCCCCAGGAGGGUACAAAAGGAGGCUGGGAGCAGUGGGGUCAGCAGGUUCAGACGCAGCCAGAGGCAAAGGAGGCAGCAGUGUGCUGCCAGCUUCAGGCAUCCCAGUGCCGGCACCAUGACCAUCUUCUGCAGCCACUGCCACAGGCCACUGCAGGCAGAGAUGAGCUGCCUGCCCAGGAGGGGCAAGCAGGCGCCUGGUGCCUCCAAGCCAUUCAGGUCAACCAAGAGUGCCUCCAAGGCUCGCCGGGACCAAAUCAACGUGGAGCUGCAAGCACUGCGCUCCCUGCUGCCCAUCUCUGCGCAGGAGAAGGAGCGGCUCUCCUAUCUCCAUACCAUGGCUCUGGUGUGCCUCCAGCUGCGGGGGGCUCAGCUGUUCCCUCCAGGUACCCACAGCACAGCCAUACCCCAUGCUAGCUUGGCUCUGCAUGGGGCGCUGCCCCUGCCCCAUCAAGACAGCGCUUCACACCAUGACAACCCUGCGGACUCGGCUCCUGCUGCGGGAGUGGCCCUCAACACGGAGCUGCUCUCCCUGCUGCCAGGGUUUCUGCUUGUGCUCUCAGCCAACGGCAAGCUGGUCUACAUCUCAGAGAACGUGGCUCAGGUCCUGGGCCUCUCCAUGGUGGAGCUGCUCGCCCACGGGGACACGGUCUUUGAUAUUCUAGAUGGGCGAGCUUGUGAGGAUGCACGCAAGAAGCUCCUCCUUGCCCAGGAGGAGCCCGGCAGGGGUAAGGGCUCAGCUGGCAUCUCACAGAUGCUGUGGUCAGA